AGCGAACGCUGGCGGCAGGCCUAACACAUGCAAGUCGAACGAACCUUUCGGGGUUAGUGGCGGACGGGUGAGUAACACGUGGGAACGUGCCUUUAGGUUCGGAAUAACUCAGGGAAACUUGUGCUAAUACCGAAUGUGCCCUUCGGGGGAAAGAUUUAUCGCCUUUAGAGUGGCCCGCGUCUGAUUAGCUAGUUGGUUGAGGUAAUGGCUCACCAAGGCGACGAUCAGUAGCUGGUCUGAGAGGAUGAUCAGCCACAUUGGGACUGAGACACGGCCCAAACUCCUACGGGAGGCAGCAGUGGGGAAUCUUGCGCAAUGGGCGAAAGCCUGACGCAGCCAUGCCGCGUGAAUGAUGAAGGUCUUAGGAUUGUAAAAUUCUUUCACCGGGGACGAUAAUGACGGUACCCGGAGAAGAAGCCCCGGCUAACUUCGUG
rnacentral:rRNA from 1 species